rnacentral:rRNA from 1 species
GCCUGUUCUAGAACCGAUAACCCCCGUUCAACCUCACCCUUCCUUGUUUAACCCGCCUAUAUACCGCCGUCGUCAGCUUACCCUGUGAAGGACUAAUAGUAAGCAAGACUGGUACAGCCUAAAACGUCAGGUCGAGGUGUAGCGUAUGGAGGGGGAAGAAAUGGGCUACAUUCGCUACUACAGCGAACACGAAUGACCCACUGAAACACGGGUCUGAAGGAGGAUUUAGCAGUAAGCAGGAAAUAGAGCGUCCCGCUGAAACUGGCCCUGAAGCGCGCACACACCGCCCGUCACUCUCCCCAAAAACACCAAUCAUUUAACUAAGACCUAAUAAUUAAAAAGGGGAGACAAGUCGUAACAUGGUAAGUGUACCGGAAGGUGCGCUUGGAAAA